rnacentral:pre_miRNA from 1 species
GGGGGGAGGCCAGAUCCUGGGCUGUGUCCCCGGAGCCCUGUGCUCCCGGGCCUGGGCUGUUGGAUUCGGCUCCCGGCCAAGCAGCCCCCU